GAUGAACGCUGGCGGCGUGCUUAACACAUGCAAGUCGAACGGUGAAGCCAAGCUUGCUUGGUGGAUCAGUGGCGAACGGGUGAGUAACACGUGAGCAACCUGCCCUGGACUCUGGGAUAAGCGCUGGAAACGGCGUCUAAUACUGGAUAUGAGACGUGAUCGCAUGGUCGUGUUUGGAAAGAUUUUUCGGUCUGGGAUGGGCUCGCGGCCUAUCAGCUUGUUGGUGAGGUAAUGGCUCACCAAGGCGUCGACGGGUAGCCGGCCUGAGAGGGUGGCCGGCCACACUGGGACUGAGACACGGCCCAGACUACUACGGGAGGCAGCAGUGGGGAAUAUUGCACAAUGGGCGAAAGCCUGAUGCAGCAACGCCGCGUGAGGGAUGACGGCCUUCGGGUUGUAAACCUCUUUUAGCAGGGAAGAAGCGAGAGUGACGGUACCUGCAGAAAAAGCGCCGGCUAACUACGUGCCAGCCGCCGCCGUAAAAC
rnacentral:rRNA from 1 species